UACAGAGGUCUCAAGCGUUGUUCGGAUUCAUUGGGCGUAAAGGGCGCGUAGGCGGCUCGGCACGUCCGUUGUGAAAUCGCCCGGCUCAACUGGGCGGGGUCAGCGGAUACGGUCGAGCUUGAGCAAGCUAGGGGGUAAUGGAAUUCCCGGUGUAGUGGUGGAAUGCGUAGAUAUCGGGAGGAACACCAGUGGCGAAGGCGGUUACCUGGGGCUUUGCUGACGCUGAUGCGCGAAAGCGUGGGGAGCGAGUCCGG
rnacentral:rRNA from 1 species